rnacentral:rRNA from 1 species
AUGACCCCUGCGGAUUUGACCCUACCUACACCCGGAGCCAAUCCCCUACCGGUCCUGCCACCACAUCGCAGAACAGGAGCUCGUGUGGAACCUUUGAUUUGUGGGUCCGCCGAUUUUUGCAACGCUCAAGGCGGGUAG